UAUUCUCAACCUUCAAAGCUUUGUUGCAGCGAAGGCUUGGAUUUGGAGGCUGUGUUGGCGCAAGUCGACUCCUCUUAAAUGCAUUAGCGUGACUCAUUACGGAUCGCCUUCAGUGUGAUAAUUGUCUACACUGUGGUGUUGAAGUAUAUACACGAGUCUUCAUGCUUACAAUCGUCUCCUAGCGAGACAAAUACACAUACAUUGACA
rnacentral:misc_RNA from 1 species